rnacentral:rRNA from 1 species
GGACGAACGCUGGCGGCGUGCCUAAUACAUGCAAGUCGAACGAGCUCUCCUAAAUUGAUUUUAUGCUUGCAUAAAUGAUUUUUAGAUUCGGAGCGAGUGGCGAACUGGUGAGUAACACGUGGGUAACCUGCCCCGAAGCGGGGGAUAACAUUUGGAAACAAAUGCUAAUACCGCAUAAUUAGUUGGAACCGCAUGGUUCCAACUUGAAAGAUGGCUCUGCUAUCACUUUGGGAUGGACCCGCGCCGUAUUAGUUAGUUGGUGAGAUAAAAGCCCACCAAGACGAUGAUACGUAGCCGACCUGAGAGGGUAAUCGGCCACAUUGGGACUGAGACACGGCCCAGACUCCUACGGGAGGCAGCAGUAGGGAAUCUUCCACAAUGGACGAAAGUCUGAUGGAGCAACGCCGCGUGAGUGAUGAAGGUUUUCGGAUCGUAAAACUCUGUUGUUAAAGAAGAACAAGUGUUAGAGUAACUGUUAACGCUUUGACGGUAUUUAACCAGAAAGCCACGGCUAACUACGUGCCAGCAGCCGCGGUAAUACGUAGGUGGCAAGCGUUGUCCGGAUUUAUUGGGCGUAAAGCGAGCGCAGGCGGUUUUGUAAGUCUGCUGUGAAAGCCCUCAGCUCAACUGAGGAAGUGCAGUGGAAACUACAAAACUUGAGUACAGAAGAGGAAAGUGGAACUCCAUGUGUAGCGGUGAAAUGCGUAGAUAUAUGGAAGAACACCAGUGGCGAAGGGCGGCUUUCUGGUCUGUUACUGACGCUGAGGCUCGAAAGCAUGGGUAGCGAACAGGAUUAGAUACCCUGGUAGUCCAUGCCGUAAACGAUGAAUACUAGGUGUUGGAGGGUUUCCGCCCUUCAGUGCCGCAGCUAACGCAUUAAGUAUUCCGCCUGGGGAGUACGACCGCAAGGUUGAAACUCAAAGGAAUUGACGGGGGCCCGCACAAGUGGUGGAGCAUGUGGUUUAAUUCGAUGCUACGCGAAGAACCUUACCAGCUCUUGACAUCUUCUGCCAACCCAAGAGAUUGGGCGUUCCCUUCGGGGACAGAAUGACAGGUGGUGCAUGGUUGUCGUCAGCUCGUGUCGUGAGAUGUUGGGUUAAGUCCCGCAACGAGCGCAACCCUUAUUAUUAGUUGCCAGCAUUUAGUUGGGCACUCUAGUGAGACUGCCGGUGAUAAACCGGAGGAAGGUGGGGACGACGUCAAAUCAUCAUGCCCCUUAUGAGCUGGGCUACACACGUGCUACAAUGGAUGGUACAACGAGUCGCGAAACCGCGAGGUCAAGCUAAUCUCUUAAAGCCAUUCUCAGUUCGGAUUGCAGGCUGCAACUCGCCUGCAUGAAGUUGGAAUCACUAGUAAUCGUGGAUCAGCAUGCCACGGUGAAUACGUUCCCGGGCCUUGUACACACC